GAUGAACGCUGGCGGCGUGCCUAAUACAUGCAAGUCGAGCGAACGGACGAGAAGCUUGCUUUUCUGAUGUUAGCGGCGGACGGGUGAGUAACACGUGGAUAACCUACCUAUAAGACUGGGAUAACUUCGGGAAACCGGAGCUAAUAUCGGAUAAUAUUUUGAACCGCAUGGUUCAAAAGUGAAAGACGGUCUUGCUGUCACUUAUAGAUGGAUCCGCGCUGCAUUAGCUAGUUGGUAAGGUAACGGCUUACCAAGGCAACGAUGCAUAGCCGACCUGAGAGGGUGAUCGGCCACACUGGAACUGAGACACGGUCCAGACUCCUACGGGAGGCAGCAGUAGGGAAUCUUCCGCAAUGGGCGAAAGCCUGACGGAGCAACGCCGCGUGAGUGAUGAAGGUCUUCGGAUCGUAAAACUCUGUUAUUAGGGAAGAACAUAUGCGUAAGUAACUGUGCACAUCUUGACGGUACCUAAUCAGAAAGCCACGGCUAACUACGUG
rnacentral:rRNA from 1 species